rnacentral:tRNA from 1 species
AUCAAGAUGGCCGAGUGGUUAAGGCGCCAGACUUAAGAUUCUAAUUCAAAUAAUAGAUUAAUAGGUAAUCUUGUGAAAUCCGUUACUUGGCAUUCUGGUCUUGAGAAGAAGGCGUGGGUUCGUACCCCACUCUUGACA